GUGUCAGCCGCCGCGGUAAUACGGAGGAUGCAAGCGUUAUCCGGAUUUAUUGGGUUUAAAGGGUGCGUAGGCGGAAAAAUAAGUCAGUGGUGAAAACCUGCAGCUUAACUGUAGAAUUGCCAUUGAUACUGUUAUUCUUGAGUAUGGUCAAGGUAGGCGGAAUGUGUAAUGUAGCGGUGAAAUGCUUAGAUAUUACACAGAACACCGAUUGCGAAGGCAGCUUGCUGGGCCAUUACUGACGCUGAUGCACGAAAGCGUGGGGAUCGAACAGGAUUAGAUACCCUGGUAGUCCACGCCGUAAACGAUGAUCACUCGCUGUUAGCGAUACACAGUUAGCGGCUAAGCAAAAGCAUUAAGUGAUCCACCUGGGGAGUACGGCCGCAAGGCUGAAACUUAAAGGAAUUGACGGGG
rnacentral:rRNA from 1 species